GACGUAGGGCGCGAGCGUUGUCCGGAUUUAUUGGGCGUAAAGAGCUCGUAGGCGGCUACCUAAGUCGGAUGUGAAAGCCCCUGGCUUAACCGGGGAAGUGCACCCGAAACUGGGUAGCUAGAGUGCAAAAGAGGGUCGCGGAAUUCCCAGUGUAGAGGUGAAAUUCGUAGAUAUUGGGAGGAACACCGGUGGCGAAGGCGGCGACCUGGGUUGACACUGACGCUGAGGCGCGAAAGCGUGGGGAGCAAACAGG
rnacentral:rRNA from 1 species